CAGUAACGGCGAGUGAAGCGGUAACAGCUCAAAUUUGAAAUCUGGCCUCACGGUCCGAGUUGUAAUUUGUAGAGGAUGCUUCGAGCAUGGUCUGGCCUAAGUUCCUUGGAACAGGACGUCAUAGAGGGUGAGAAUCCCGUAUGCGGCCAGGUGCCUACGCUCAUGUGAAGCUCCUUCGACGAGUCGAGUUGUUUGGGAAUGCAGCUCAAAAUGGGUGGUAAAUUUCAUCUAAAGCUAAAUAUUGGCCAGAGACCGAUAGCGCACAAGUAGAGUGAUCGAAAGAUGAAAAGCACUUUGGAAAGAGAGUUAAACAGUACGUGAAAUUGUUGAAAGGGAAGCGCUUGCAACCAGACUUGCGCGCGGCCGAUCAUCCGGUGUUCUCACCGGUGCACUCGGCCGUGCUCAGGCCAGCAUCGGUUUUGGCGGCUGGAUAAAGGCCCUAGGAAUGUAGCUCCUCUCGGGGAGUGUUAUAGCCUAGGGUGCAAUGCAGCCUGCUGGGACCGAGGACCGCGCUUCGGCUAGGAUGCUGGCGUAAUGGUUGUAAGCGGCCCGUCUUGAAACACGGACCAAGGAGUCUAACAUCUAUGCGAGUGUUUGGGUGUCAAACCCAUACGCGUAAUGAAAGUGAACGGAGGUGAGAACCCUUAAGGGUGCAUCAUCGACCGGUCCUGAAGUUUACGGAAGGAUCUGAGUAAGAGCAUAGCUGUUGGGACCCGAAAGAUGGUGAACUAUGCCUGAAUAGGGUGAAGCCAGAGGAAACUCUGGUGGAGGCUCGCAGCGGUUCUGACGUGCAAA
rnacentral:rRNA from 1 species